ACAUCAAAAUUAAACAACAAAAGAAGAAGAUGAAUCAUACACAGAAUCAGCUGAAAGCCAGAUUGAAAAGCACUGUUGACAUGGGCUCAGAGUGUCAUUGGAUAUAGCCAGGGAUUUUUUUCAGCCAGAACUCGUUUAUGAUGGUUGAAAGCUGCUCUGGGUCCUCAUGGUAAAAGGCAGGGUUGACCUUCUCUCAGCACAUUGCCCUGCCACUGCAACGAUCUCUCCAGCUUAGAUCAGUAAGAGAAACCCAGAUCUUGUUUCCAGUGGGAAUUGGAUGUCAAGGUAAAGAGUCAGACUUUAAAGUGUUCUAGCAGAAGCCGCAAGCCACACACACACACACACAAGAGAAAGAAGCCUGCCUGCAAGGUCAACUCAAGGAGCAGCUGAGCGAACAGUUCUUUUGUGAGGCUGUGUUAUCCUUAUGAAUGAACUUUGAGCCAUCCUGACAGUAUUUGCCAGAGCUAUUGGGCAUUUUUACAAGCAUGGCUCCUAAGGUUCCAUGAACAAUCACAUUGUUUUGUACGGCUCUCAUUAAAAUUGAGACAAUGGAGAGAUGGAGAAGGACGUUGUGGAUUCAUCCUGCCUUUACGUUUCCUGCACUCCUUGUUGCAGUGAGGACAGCCAGUUACACAGCACCAAAAGAGAGGAAAGGCACCAUCAGAAAAAAGAAAAAGAAAUGUAUUUGCAUGAAAUAUGCAAGUGCUGAUUUCAAGAUGCGCCUCUGCCCCAUACAUUGCUCCAUCUGCUCUUCACACUCUCUUCUCCUUCCUGCAACCAGCCACAACAUCUGAACUCGCCUCUACAGUUUGCCCCAUCCCCAUAGUGGAGGAUGGCGGGCCUAGCAGCAGAAGCUGCUGACUCCUGCCCCUUCUCUCCUUCUUUCCCUCCCUCCCUUUCCCCACCCCUGCCCCACAGACAUGGAAAGAGAAGCACAGAUGAAAGGGAAGCAGUGCUCACUCUCGCC